ACUGACCGAUAGUGAACCAGUACCGUGAGGGAAAGGCGAAAAGAACCCCGGCGAGGGGAGUGAAAAAGAACCUGAAACCGUGUACGUACAAGCAGUGGGAGCACGCUUCGGCGUGUGACUGCGUACCUUUUGUAUAAUGGGUCAGCGACUUAUAUUCUGUAGCAAGGUUAACCGAAUAGGGGAGCCGAAGGGAAACCGAGUCUUAACUGGGCGUUAAGUUGCAGGGUAUAGACCCGAAACCCGGUGAUCUAGCCAUGGGCAGGUUGAAGGUUGGGUAACACUAACUGGAGGACCGAACCGACUAAUGUUGAAAAAUUAGCGGAUGACUUGUGGCUGGGGGUGAAAGGCCAAUCAAACCGGGAGAUAGCUGGUUCUCCCCGAAAGCUAUUUAGGUAGCGCCUCGUGAAUUCAUCUCCGGGGGUAGAGCACUGUUUCGGCAAGGGGGUCAUCCCGACUUACCAACCCGAUGCAAACUGCGAAUACCGGAGAAUGUUAUCACGGGAGACACACGGCGGGUGCUAACGUCCGUCGUGAAGAGGGAAACAACCCAGACCGCCAGCUAAGGUCCCAAAGUCAUGGUUAAGUGGGAAACGAUGUGGGAAGGCCCAGACAGCCAGGAUGUUGGCUUAGAAGCAGCCAUCAUUUAAAGAAAGCGUAAUAGCUCACUGGUCGAGUCGGCCUGCGCGGAAGAUGUAACGGGGCUAAACCAUGCACCGAAGCUGCGGCAGCGACACUAUGUGUUGUUGGGUAGGGGAGCGUUCUGUAAGCCUGUGAAGGUGUACUGUGAGGUAUGCUGGAGGUAUCAGAAGUGCGAAUGCUGACAUAAGUA
rnacentral:rRNA from 1 species